CCCUGCCUCCCUCCCUCGGGUCAGGGUCGAGCCGGUUGGGGCGGGAAGGCGGGAGAAGGAGCGGGGGCCGGGGCGGGGUGGUUUCCCCCCCGCCCCCGGCCUCAUUCCGUUACCUGUAAGCCGGGCGAAUCCGGCGAUGCUCUCGGGGACCGGGAGCCGCUUGAGGCUUGCCUUAUGCAGAUUCAUUUCUUUUUGAGGAGGACGUGACUUUAAUUUUCUGGAGGCGUCAGCUAGACACACUUCGGCCGUGCCCUUCGUCUAACGGUGAGGGUCAAGACCUCUAUAAGCGGCCUUCAAACAGCCUGGCGUAGCGGAUGGAGCACGGGUCUGGACGUCAGAAGGUCGUGGAUUUUAACGUCGCCUCCUCCUCGUGUCUACUGUGUGACCUUGGGCAGGUCAUUUCACUUUUCAUUGCCUCAGUUACUUCAUCUGUAAAAUGAGGAUUGGGACUGGGAGCCCCAUGUGGGACAGGGUAUGGGUCCAACCCAAUUUGCUUGUACCCACCCCAACGCUUAGCACACAGUAGAUGCUUAAAUACCUCGAUCAUUAUAAACCUUAUCAUCUUUCUGCCUAGGUAAUACGGAGGUAAUUGAGUCUUUUCUGUGGAGACUGCGGUCUAGCCUAGUGUCUGCGGCAGAGGUGACUUGAUAUUGCCUCUUGCAUUACUAAGACUUGUCUCAGUGUGGCAUUCUGGUGGAUUGCUUAAUCUCUUGCGGGUCCCCACGUUUCAGCUAUUCAAAACAAACCAGGGCACCCCAAGGAGGGUUUCACCGUCUGCUUGAAUGUGUUUGUGACCAUAGGACUUUUUAAUUUCAUACCUUCAGAACUGUGAAGCAAUCCUCCCGGUGGUUAAUAGUCUUUGUAAUGCAAAUUAACGAUCAGGUACAGGUGACACAAUGACCUGAUGAAAGGUCUGAUUCCGUGAAUGUACAGAAAGAGAAAGUUUCUUAGCAAAAAAAAAAACUGGAGUUGUGAUAAAAGGACUCUUGUGGUUAAUCCACAAGGAAACUGUUUCAUCUGUGCAUGAAAUAUUUACACUUUAUUGCAUCUGUUGGGCAUUUUGUAUAAGUCAUCCUACUAAGCACAGCGGGAAAGUACAGGGAUAUCAAAUCAGGCACAAUCCCUGACCCAGAGGAGGUUUACAAUCUAAAAGGGAUUGGGGGUUGGUGGGGAGGACGGGCAACAGACUUACAUGGAAAGCGUCAUAUAAUAAAGUGAAAACAUUGUGACGGCAAAAA